ACCUAGCUGGUUCAGUAGGAAGAGCAUGGGACUCUUGAUCUCAGAGUUGUGAGUUCAAGCCCCAUGCUGGGUG
rnacentral:tRNA from 1 species